ACCCCAUCUUUUCACCUAAAAAAUAAAUGGUUUUUCUUUCUUUCUUUGUUUUGAGUUUUUUUUAUUUGUUUUCAGAAUUCAGAGUGUAUAUAUAAGAAGGUGAAGAACUAGAAGAGAGCAAGAGCAGAGAGAGAGGUAGAGAGAGGUAGAGAGAGAAAGAGAGAAGCUUGUAAGAAUAUCUCUAUCUCUCAACAGCAAUGGGGAGAGAGAGAGAGAGAGAGAGCCGAAAAGGCUAAUGGGGGAAUGAAGGAAGACAAGGCCAAGGGAAAGUCAUUUUAUUGCCGAGUGUCAGUGGAAGCUAUUGAGCUGUUUU
rnacentral:lncRNA from 1 species